UACGGAGGGUGCAAGCGUUAUCCGGAUUCACUGGGUUUAAAGGGUGCGUAGGCGGCCUAUUAAGUCAGGGGUGAAAGACGGUAGCUUAACUAUCGCAGUGCCUUUGAUACUGAUAGGCUUGAAUAUACUUGAGGUAGGCGGAAUGUGACAAGUAGCGGUGAAAUGCAUAGAUAUGUCACAGAACACCAAUUGCGAAGGCAGCUUACUAAAGUAUGAUUGACGCUGAGGCACGAAAGCGUGGGGAUCAAACAGG
rnacentral:rRNA from 1 species